rnacentral:rRNA from 1 species
AGAGUUUGAUCCUGGCUCAGGAUGAACGCUGGCGGCGUGCUUAACACAUGCAAGUCGAACGAACCUUCGGGUUAGUGGCGGACGGGUGAGUAACGCGUGGGAAUCUGCCCUCAGGAGGGGGAUAACGGCUGGAAACGGCCGCUAAUACCCCAUAUGCCGAGAGGUGAAAUGAAAUUCGCCUGAGGAUGAGCCCGCGUCUGAUUAGCUAGUUGGUGGGGUAAGAGCCUACCAAGGCUUCGAUCAGUAGCUGGUCUGAGAGGAUGAUCAGCCACACUGGGACUGAGACACGGCCCAGACUCCUACGGGAGGCAGCAGUGGGGAAUUUUCCGCAAUGGGCGAAAGCCUGACGGAGCAACGCCGCGUGAGGGAUGAAGGCCUCUGGGCUGUAAACCUCUUUUCUCAAGGAAGAAGACAUGACGGUACUUGAGGAAUAAGCCACGGCUAAUUCCGUGCCAGCAGCCGCGGUAAUACGGGAGUGGCAAGCGUUAUCCGGAAUUAUUGGGCGUAAAGCGUCCGCAGGCGGCCUUGUAAGUCUGCUGUCAAAACGUGGAGCUCAACUCCAUUUCGGCAGUGGAAACUACUAGGCUUGAGUGUGGUAGGGGCAGAGGGAAUUCCCGGUGUAGCGGUGAAAUGCGUAGAUAUCGGGAAGAACACCAGUGGCGAAGGCGCUCUGCUGGGCCAUAACUGACGCUCAUGGACGAAAGCCAGGGGAGCGAAAGGGAUUAGAUACCCCUGUAGUCCUGGCCGUAAACGAUGAACACUAGGUGUCGGGGGAAUCGACCCCCUCGGUGUCGUAGCCAACGCGUUAAGUGUUCCGCCUGGGGAGUACGCACGCAAGUGUGAAACUCAAAGGAAUUGACGGGGGCCCGCACAAGCGGUGGAGUAUGUGGUUUAAUUCGAUGCAACGCGAAGAACCUUACCAGGGUUUGACAUCCUGCGAACCCCUGAGAAAUCGGGGGGUGCCUUCGGGAACGCAGAGACAGGUGGUGCAUGGCUGUCGUCAGCUCGUGUCGUGAGAUGUUGGGUUAAGUCCCGCAACGAGCGCAACCCACGUCUUUUAGUUGCCAGCAUUCAGUUGGGCACUCUAGAGAGACCGCCGGUGAUAAACCGGAGGAAGGUGUGGAUGACGUCAAGUCAUCAUGCCCCUUACAUCCUGGGCUACACACGUACUACAAUGCUACGGACAAAGGGCAGCAAGCUCGCGAGAGUAAGCAAAUCCCAUAAACCGUGGCUCAGUUCAGAUCGUAGGCUGCAACUCGCCUACGUGAAGGAGGAAUCGCUAGUAAUCGCAGGUCAGCAUACUGCGGUGAAUACGUUCCCGGGCCUUGUACACACCGCCCGUCACACCAUGGAAGUUGGCCAUGCCCGAAGUCGUUACUCCAACCCUUGUGGAGGAGGACGCCGAAGGUGGGGCUGAUGACUGGGGUGAAGUCGUAACAGGGUA